CGCUCGUGUCAUUGCUCUGUACAGAAAUUGUUAUUUUUCAUCUAAAAUUCUCUCUUUUACGAGUAAAUUAAUUUCCACUUUCUCUCGAUUUUCAACAUUUGCUUUCUAAAUUACUUGUUUAAUUUCACACCCCCAGAUUCUCAAAAAAUGCUUUAGGUUUUUGACUUCAAUAUUUAGGUAAAGAAGAGAGGAUAUAGAGAUGUGGGAUGCAAAAAGGCCUCAUUUUCUUGUGGGUUUUAACCCUUCUAUGAGUUCUGAAAAAAUGAAAAUUCCAUCAAAAUUCAUUAAACAUAUGGAAGGAAGGGCUCCCGGAACAGCACUUUUGGUGGGUCCCAGUGGAAAUUCUUGGCCUGUGGACUUAAUACAGCGAGAUGACGGUUUAUUCUUCCACAGUGGAUGGGUUUCAUUUGUUAAUGAUCACUGCCUUGAAACUGGGGAUUCUUUGGUUUUCAGAUAUGACGGUGAUUUGCAUUUCACUGUGCAAGCAUUUGAUGAAAGUUCAUGUGAGAAAGAAGCUGCUUAUAACGCUGAUUGCAGUCAAGCAGCAACAAAUUUGUACAAUCUUGCUUUGAGAAAAAGAUUUCGAGGAAACUCAGCUUUAUUAGAUUGCAUCGUUGAAGGUGUUCCGAAGAAAAUGAGAAGCACUCAGAUUCCUUCAGAAGAGAAUGCUGGAGAUGCGUUAAAUAAUACAGUUACUAUUGCUGUACCAUCUCAAGCAGGGGCUGUCUGCAACAACCCAGUAGAGGUGAAAAUAGACAAUGAUACCUCCGAGGAAGAUAUGUGGAUGUCUGCACAAGAAGCGGAUAAGGUUGCCUAUUCAUUUACUUCAAGUUUCCCCAGCUUUACGAAAGUUAUGAAGAGGUUCAACAUCAGUGGCUCAUACACCCUGAACAUCCCUUACCAGUUUGCCACGGAACAUCUUCCCAAAUGCAAGGUGAAGAUUUUACUUCAUAAUUUAAAAGGAAAAACUUGGACUGUGAAUUCAAUCCCAACUACAAGAGUACAAACAUCACAUACCUUUUGCGGAGGGUGGUUAUCCUUUGUUCGCGACAAUAACAUUGAUUUGGGAGAUGUCUGCAUCUUUGAGCUUGUUCACAAGUGUGAAUUACGCGUGCGUGUUCUGAGGGUGGAAAAGGAAGGAAAUGAUUACAGUAAUAAGGUUGUUCAUGAAGGACAAGCUGCUGAUUAUGCUAAAAUUUCUGGAUGUAAGUCCAGGAAAGCGGGAGCAAAUUCUAAUCGCUGUUUACAGCGGGUAGCGAAGGCCACGACAUAUGAUAAAAAAGGAUCUGCUCAUGACAAAGAGAAACCUGAAAUCAGGAAACCUACUAGUUCUCAAGAUAAACAGGGUUCUUUCACCAAGGGCUGCAUGUCCAUGAAAUCAGUACCUGAAGAGAAAUUAGCUGCUGAAUCUUUCAUUUCUAAUUUCCCUCAUUUUGUGCGGAUCAUGAAAAAGUUCAACAUUAGUGGCUCUUACACUUUGCCUUUUACGUCUUCACAGAAAGUUCCAUAUCAGUUCUCAAUGGAACACCUCCCAAAAUGCAGAACGGAGAUUGUGCUUCAUAACUUGAAGGGAGAAUGUUGGACUGUAAAUUCAAUUCCGACUGUAAAGGUACAAACGCUGCACACAUUUUGUGGAGGAUGGUCUGCAUUUGUCCGAGAUAAUGACAUCCAGAUGGGCGAUAUCUGCAUAUUCGAGCUCAUUGGGAAUAAUGAAAUGCGUGUACAUAUAUGUGCAAUUGGGAAGAAGGGCCUAGAUUACCGAAAUGGGAUAACUUCUAGCGAGUCGGCUAUCCUUUCGUCCUUGACAAGCUAGAGUCCUUUGACAUAACAAGCUGUAGGAAAGAUUACUUUUUGCCUAAUACAAGCAUCUGGGCUUUCCUUUUAUCAACAUAAGGAUGUUUUUGGUCAAUUCGAUCAUCAGUGCCUAAUUACUCUUUGUUUCCGGUUUGGCGUUUUGCUGGAAGAUAAUAUUAGCGAACUUGGAUACAUUGGAUAAGAAAAGGAAUACACAUCAAUGUUAUGGAGAAGCGCUUAAAGUAGGUUAUCAAACAUUUGACCAGGUUGGACAUGCCUUCAGUAGCUUAGAUGUUUUGUUGUGGGCGUUGUCUGAGAACUCUUGUUGAGACUGUUAGUAUAAAUACUGUGCGAAAAGCUUCUCAUUUCUUAAAGUCAUAGAUUUCCCUUUGUGAAUAAGUCUCCUGUCUGGAGUUAAUCCAAUUGCCGUGAAACAUUUGCUGUUGGUCUGUGUAUGGAGGGUAUGUAAAAAACAGGACAUCUUCUAGAAUGAGAAAUCAAAGUUUCACAUCUAUUACUACUUUAGACUCAUUAGAACUGUUC